ACGCGACUUUCCCGUUUGUUGUGUCGUGUCGCGUCUGCGGUCACGACUCGUUUUUUCGCGUCAACACGUGUGUGGACUCGUUUGUCCUCGGUCGCGUGUCGUCGCGAGGAACACACGCCAACCCGACCUCGUGUCGUGUGCGUCCGCCCGUCGGAGCGCACGAUCCGAGUCUUCUCUGAAGCGUCUCUCGGUCGUUGUCGACCGAGGUUAUGAAACCAAACGACAACUCUCAACAACGGAUAUCUUGGCUCCCGUAUCGAUGAAGAACGCAGCGAAAUGCGAUACGUAGUGUGAAUUGCAGAAUUCCGUGAACCAUCGAAGUUUUGAACGCACCUUGCGCCCGAGGCCUCGGCCGAGGGCAUGUCUGCCUCAGCGUCGGCGCACCCCCUCGACCCGCGUCUGGUUUGUGUCACCGGCACACACCCUGUGUGCCGAACCCAGUAUUCCGUCUGCGUCGUACCUGGCAUUGUCUCGUCGCGUGUUCGCGAGGACGGCCUGCUGAAAUGUUCGGCUUGAACGACGACCCCGUUUGAGGUCGGCGACUUGGUAGGUUUGCGACUGGCGCGUGCCAAGUGGUGACUCCGUCUACCAGAACACUGUAUCGUCGUCCCAGGCGUCCCGCUGCGGUGCUUUGCACGUGCACUCUCGCGCACGUACUCCACCUAUUCAUUCGACCUGAGCUCAGCAAGAUUACCCGAUGAAUUUAAGCGUAUCCGU
rnacentral:rRNA from 1 species